GCCUCGGUGGUUAAUUGGUAGCACGCAUCCGCGCUAUGGAUGAAACGCGGGUUCAACUCCCGCCUGAGGUC